AGCGGGGUGGAGCAGUCUGGUAGCUCGUCAGGCUCCCCCUUCCUGAAGGCCGAGGUUCAAAUCCCCCCCCGCAACCA
rnacentral:tRNA from 1 species